rnacentral:tRNA from 1 species
UGGGAUGUAGCUCAUAUGGUAAGAGCGCUCACUUUGCAUGCGAGAGGUACAGGGAUUGAUACCCCGCAUCUCCA